GACAGAGGGUGCUAGCGUUGUUCGGAAUCAUUGGGCGUAAAGCGCGCGUAGGCGGCUUUGCAAGUCGGGUGUGAAAUCCCCAGGCUUAACCUGGGAACUGCAUUCGAGACUGCAUUGCUAGAGUAUGGGAGAGGGAAGUGGAAUUUCCGGUGUAGCGGUGAAAUGCGUAGAUAUCGGAAGGAACAUCAGUGGCGAAAGCGACUUCCUGGACCAAUACUGACGCUCAUGUGCGAAAGCGUGGGGAGCAAACAGG
rnacentral:rRNA from 1 species